rnacentral:rRNA from 1 species
GACGAACGCUGGCGGCGUGCCUAAUACAUGCAAGUCGAACGCAGUGGGGACGGGUGAGUAACACGUUGGUAACCUCCCAUCAGAGGGGAUAACACUUGGAAACAGGUGCUAAACCGAUACUGAUGGAUGAACCCGCGGUGCAUUAGCUAGUUGGUGGGGUAACGCCUACCCAAGGCCACGAUGCAUAGCCGACCUGCGAGGGUGUGCGACCACACUGGGACUGAAACACGGCCCAGACUCCGACGGGAGGCAGCAGGAGGGAAUCUUCGGCAAUGGACGAAAGUCUGACCGAGCAACGCCGCGUGAGUGAAGAAGGUUUUCGGAUCGUAAAACUCUGUUGUUAGGGAGGCGGUAUCUAACCAGAAAGCCACGGCUAACUACGUGCCAGCAGCCGCGGUAAUAC